rnacentral:lncRNA from 1 species
AUGAUUUUCCAACAAAAGGAGGUCUAUGAACUCAUGAACUUACAUAAGUGCUGUGAAUCUGCAAACACCCCUGAUCAAUCUACAUUAAAACCGAAACUGAAUAGACAAAAAGCAGUUCAAUCAAAUCUAAGGGGAAAGGAAGUCUCUGUUACACAACUCAAAUAUCACAUGUUACAUAAAUGCAUCAAGAACUGUUUUGAAGGCAUCCCUGUUUUUUUUUUUUUUUUCAGGAACACUGCAUAAUUGAUGACACAAUAUCUUGGAUCAUAUUGCCAAGAACUUCAGCUUAUGAUCUAUAUGCUCCCUGGGGGAAGAUUUUGUUGUCUCCCACCACCUGGCUUUUGUUCUCAAUUUACAGCAUGUCAAUGCUCCCAAGAAUAACAUAAAAACAAAACAAAUGCCAGGAAAAUGAAUGAUGAUCCCAAAUCAGUUUCAAUCAUCUCCUAUAAAGACUUUAGAUUAGUACUCCUUCACAACACUCUUAGUUCCUGUAUCUGUUCUCACAGUGCAACCUAAAUGUCUGCAGAUCACUUACACAACUUGAGAGAGGCUCAAAACAAUACCCUGGCACUCAGUGUCGGUUAGCUUUCCUUCCUUUACAUGCUGAGUAACCAGAAGCACUUCUCAGAGCGGGUGUAACUUCAAUGAUAUUGGCUGAGUUUGUGACUCAAAGUGCAAAGAGAAAAAUGUCAUCGACAAAGAGGCCAAGUCAUAAUGAGCUGAAAACCAGCAAGUACUUCAGGCUGGAAGAAGUUCUGUCAGAAAUAUCCAGCAGAUUCGCGGAAAGCUGAAGGAGAACAAUAGGCUCAGAGAAUGGGAAGGAUUCGGGGAAAGCUUGGAGGAAGUUUAUAUUUCAGCUCUCAAAUGAGUUACCACAAACGAGGGUUUGCAUUUACCAUAAAUGCAAACUACCCUAAAACCGCAAAAGUUGCACUGGUGUCCAAACAUGGAGGUCAAUAGGCUGUGGUCUAAGAGGCAUAUAGGUUAGAUGCAUUAAAGUGAAAGUUCAUUUCUAUAGAAAACAACUUCCUGUUUUUUGAAACAACUUUCUGGUCAACCUCUUUGGCAAAAUUGGCUACGCUAGGAUUUUGUGAGAAUUUAGACUCCAACAGUCUUCAAAAUAAAAGUUUUUUAUUGGCAAUGACGAUUCCAUGAAGAACUUUUAAAGGGGUAGUACACCCAAAAAUGAAAAUUUGCUGUAAAUUUACUUUGAUUUUUUUUCUUGAGUAUAACAAUAAAGAAGAUUUUUAACUGAAACCGUGGUCCUUGGUGAUUCACAAAAUUCAAGUCAGCAGCUCCUGACGAAAUACUGAGGUCUUAGGAAAUGAAACGAUCAGUCUGUUCUGAAGAAACUGAACAUUAUUUACAACAUGGUUACCUGUAACCUAUAGCCUCAGGCAAACAGGGAAAUGAGAUUAUAUUACUGAUUCUUUAAAGACAGCUCAUUUCAAUGAACUGGCUCAAUUUACUAGUUUAUUUACAUAAUCACUAGGGCUGUGAAUCUUUGGGUAGACAACGAUUCGAUUUGAUUCAUGAUUCAUAGGUUUUCGAUUCGAUUCAAGAACGAUUUUUGCAAAUUUAGAAAAAAUGUGUGUUAGCCAAGAUUUAAAAAAAAAAGAGCUUUAAAAGUAUUAUGCAUAAGCUAACAUUUUGUCACACCAGGGGCGUAGCCAUCAUUCAGAAGUGACAGAAAUGUCAAAUAAAAUAAUUUUAUGUAUGUAUGUAUUAUCCUAAUUAUUAUUAUUAUUUUAUUUUUCUUAUCUAUUACAUUGAAUUUGCUAUAAGAAAUCAAAUACACUGCUGGACAAUAAUCAAUCAUUUGUAAUCUAUAAUUUUUUCCAAAUGGCAAUUUUAUGAUUGUUUUAUAUACUACAAGCAAUUAUUUCAAUUUUCUGCACAGAAUAAGGUAGAAAAUAUACUUUAUAGUUUCUGUACUGUAAUAAAUGAUAUGUCAAUUAGCACUGCAUCAUUCAUAAAUGUUAUUAAUUUAUUGUGUUUUUUUCUUAACGUUUCAUCAGUUCAUUCUGCUUUUUAUUCAGCUUAGCUGCAGACAGCCUGGCACAUCUGUGAGAGUGAGAUCACUUCUCUAUCUCAUUUUCAUAAAAUAAAAUGCUAUAGUAUUUAACUUUUCUUCUCCAUUAGCGAAUGAUGAUUCUGAAAAGAAAAAAAACACACCCAAUGUCUGUUUGCUACGCUACUUUCAUGCAUCAGAUUAUCAGAUAAAUCUCACGCUCUAAUUCCAAGGUUGUUGUUAAUGCUGCGGUUAUUUUAACAGUUUCCUUCAUACAUUGAGCCAUUGAAAAACUACAGAAAAGUAAAACUACUUCACUUUAGCACUUUAGCCACGAGUCCUAAGGAGAGAUCACACAUAAGCUGCUCAGAAAAUGUGUCAGUGAGACGAACGGAGCGCGAGCGCAAUCCUCUGACAGUCUCGGGCGGUAAACUGUGAAACGCAUGAAGGAAGGAUGCAAGGUCUCCAUUAAUUUGUGCUUGUAGUAAUUAAAUGUGUAUAUAUUUUGAAAGCAUUGAAUCGCUAUUGAAAUCACGAUUCAUUCGAUUCUUAGCAUUUUAAAUCGAUUACGGUCCUUAAUCUGCGAUUCAUGAUUUUUAAAAUCAUGUUUCAAGAUCGAUGCAUAUGCAUCGUCAGGGUUCGUAAUCGAUGGAUCGAGAAAACGAGUGAAUCGUUACACCCCUAAUAAUCACACAAUAAAACAUACGCAUCUCGGAUGGCCUGAGGCUGAGUAAAUUUACAGCCAAUUUUUGGGUGAACUACCCCUUUAACAUGGAAUCUUUCCAUUGCAAAGAAGGUUCUUUUUAGUGGAAAAAUUCUUUAGAUUAUAAAAAAUUAUUAUUAUUUUUUUAUAUCUGUGCAAUGAAAGAUUCUUUGGGGAACCACAAAUGUUUUGUUUCUAUGACAACGCCCCCUUUUUUAAGAGUAUCAGAGUGCUGCAGAGGUGAUGUAUUUUUGUACGAGUUUGCAUUUUAGUACUUGCGGUUACAUCAUCACAAAGUCAGUGGAUUUAUGAAUGGGUUCAAAGAUCAAGAUAUUUUCACAUUUUAUUCUAUGGCGUAAAAUGCAUAAGUAAUGCCCCUUCGGGAUUUUUUAAAGCUUUUACUUGUCUUGAAAAAGGCGGUUGCUAACAAGUGGCUAAAUGGGACUACAGAGGUUUUUGGGGACAUGAAAUAUCAUCACACCGGACAAAUAAACUAAAUCAACACUACUCCGCUUUCACAGCCUCGUUGUGUUUCUAAUAGGGCUCUUGCAACUAUUCCAAUUGAGCUGUUGGAAGCUUAACGUUGGUGCAGUUCAAAGGAUGUGACACUCACAGAUGAAGCCAAUGUUCACUCUGAGAUAAAAGGCCCAGGCCUGGCUGUGACCUUAGCCUCUUUUCAUUUCCGUGAAGACUGUAGAAGAAGCGAGCUGUGUUCUGAUCUGUCGUUCUCUGUCUUUAACAAUGUCUCUCACCUCCUACCUGUCUCCUACGGCACAAUCAUUCACAAGAUACAAGUGGAAAGAGAGGCACAGCAUAGUUAAGUGGCAUUUCCUGCAGUUUCCGCUACUUGACACUGAUUUUCUGCUAUUCCGAUAAAUUCUGGAAUUUACCGUAACACUAGCACAGGAUCAUAUAAGAAUUAUAUUUAUUUAUUUUUCAUAUAAGCAAUAUAUUCUAUACUUGCUAGAUAUAGUUACUUUUCAUUAUAUUACAUUUUACUUUACAAAUUGCUUUUGUGUUUAUCUUUUAUUCACAAAUACAAAAUCUGCAACAAGUUGGAAACUAUACAGCUAUAUUCUUGCAUCAUAAAUUCAUAAAAUCACUUUUUCUGGUAAACAAUGGCAUACGGUUUAAAACAUUACUGACUGGUUUGGAGUUUAACACAUUCUCGCUGAUCCUUUCAAAACUAUCACUACCAAGUCAUUUUUGCUAUUUUGACAAAAACAUGGCAGCCACUUAGAUAACAUUAUCUUAGAGACAAAUCAGCAUCAUUUGCAACAGCAAUGUAGAAAACAUCACAUAAAACCAAACGAUUAAAAUGGCAAGGCAUACAAAAAUGGAUUUACCAGAUCAACCGGUCCAAUACACACAUCAUUACUUAUGUAAUACAAGUAAUUUACUGUAAUAUCUUCACCCUGAUUCCAAGAUCACAAACAUAAGGCAUAUAAUGUCAAAGUAGAAAGAAAUAAUAAACAGAUGUCAUAAGAAAAUCCCAAAACACAAAACGUUCCUGGUAAAGCUGUGCAUGGCAAAAGGAACUAAACUGAAAAAUGGAAAAAGCUGGAAAAAAAAAAUUAGCUAAACCUACAGUUAUUGAGACUUUCAUUUGGACAACAU